AUUGAACGCUGGCGGCAGGCUUAACACAUGCAAGUCGGACGGUAACAGGUCUUUCGGGAUGCUGACGAGUGGCGGACGGGUGAGUAAUGCUUGGGAAUCUGUUUGUUAGUGGGGGAUAACUCGGGGAAACCAGGGCUAAUACCGCAUACGUCUUUAGGGGGAAAGCAGGGGAUCGUAAGACCUUGCGCUAAUGAGUGAGCCCAAGUCGGAUUAGUUUGUUGGUGAGGUAAAGGCUCACCAAGACUGCGAUCCGUAGCUGGUCUGAGAGGAUGAUCAGCCACACUGGGACUGAGACACGGCCCAGACUCCUACGGGAGGCAGCAGUGGGGAAUAUUGGACAAUGGGCGCAAGCCUGAUCCAGCCAUGCCGCGUGUGUGAAGAAGGUCUUAUGAUUGUAAAGCACUUUAAGUCAGGAGGAAGGUGCGAGGGCUAAUAUCUCUUGUGAUUGACGU
rnacentral:rRNA from 1 species